ACCUACGGGGGGCAGCAGUAGGGAAUCUUCCCCAAUGGGCGAAAGCCUGAUGGAGCAACGCCGCGUGGGUGAAGAAGGUCUUCGGAUCGUAAAACCCUGUUGUUAGAGAAGAAAGUGCGUGAGAGUAACUGUUCACAUUUCGGCGGUAUCUAACCAGAAAGCCACGGCUAACUACGUGCCAGCAGCCGUGGUAAUACGUAGGUGGCAAGCGUUAUCCGGAUUUAUUGGGCGUAAAGGGAACGCAGGCGGUCUUUUAAGUCUGAUGUGAAAGCCUUCGGCUUAACCGUAGUAGUGCAUUGGAAACU
rnacentral:rRNA from 1 species